rnacentral:rRNA from 1 species
AGAACGAACGCUGGCGGCAGGCUUAACACAUGCAAGUCGAGCGCCCCGCAAGGGGAGCGGCAGACGGGUGAGUAACGCGUGGGAAUCUACCCAAUUCUACGGAAUAGCUUCGGGAAACUGGAAUUAAUACCGUAUACGCCCUACGGGGGAAAGAUUUAUCGGAGUUGGAUGAGCCCGCGUUGGAUUAGCUAGUUGGUGGGGUAAUGGCCUACCAAGGCGACGAUCCAUAGCUGGUCUGAGAGGAUGAUCAGCCACACUGGGACUGAGACACGGCCCAGACUCCUACGGGAGGCAGCAGUGGGGAAUAUUGGACAAUGGGCGAAAGCCUGAUCCAGCCAUGCCGCGUGAGUGAUGAAGGCCUUAGGGUUGUAAAGCUCUUUCAGUGGGGAAGAUAAUGACGGUACCCACAGAAGAAGCCCCGGCUAACUUCGUGCCAGCAGCCGC